CCUACGGGAGGCAGCAGUGAGGAAUAUUGGUCAAUGGGCGCGAGACUGAACCAGCCAAGUCGCGUGCGGGAUGACGGCCCUAUGGAUUGUAAACCUCUUUUAUCGGGGGGCAAAAUGCGCCACGCGUGGCGUUUUGAGGGUACCGCAUGAAUAAGCAUCGGCUAACUCCGUGCCAGCAGCCGCGGUAAUACGGAGGGUUCGGGCGUUAUCCGGAUUUAUUGGGUUUAAAGGGUGCGCAGGCGGAAGGUUAAGUUAGCGGUAAAAUGGAGGGGCGCAACCAUGUCGUGCCGUUGAAACUGGGUUUCUUGAGUGCGCGAGAAGUAUGCGGAAUGCGUGGUGUAGCGGUGAAAUGCAUAGAUAUCACGCAGAACUCCGAUUGCGAAGGCAGCAUACCGGAGCUCAACUGACGCUGAUGCACGAAAGUGUGGGUAUCGAACAGGAUUAGAUACCCGUGUAGUC
rnacentral:rRNA from 1 species